CAGGUGUGGUGGAAUUGGUAGACGCGCUGGACUCAAAAUCCAGUGAGGGCGACCUCAUGGGGGUUCGAGUCCCCCCACCUGC
rnacentral:tRNA from 1 species